rnacentral:rRNA from 1 species
GACGAACGCUGGCGGCGUGCCUAAUACAUGCAAGUCGAACGCAGUGGGGACGGGUGAGUAACACGUGGGUAACCUCCCAUCAGAGGGGAUAACACUUGGAAACCGGUGCUAAACCGAUACUGAUGGAUGGACCCGCGGUGCAUUAGCUAGUGUGUGAGGUAACGGCGCACCAAGGCCACGAUGCUUAGCCGACCUGAGGGGGUGAGAGGCCACACUGGGACAGAAACACGGCCCAGACUCCAACAGGAGGCAGCGGUAGGGAAUCUUCGGCAAUGGACGAAAGUCUGACCGAGCAACGCCGCGUGAGUGAAGAAGAUUUUCGGAUCGUAAAACGCUGUUGUUAAAGAAGCGGUAUCUAACCAGAGAGCCACGGGUAACUACGUGGCAGCAGCCGCAGUAAUAC